GGGCGGCGCGCGCAGGGCCCAGCUGCCACGCAGAGGCGGCCGCGCGUGCAGGGUCCCGCGGCGCGGCGAGCUCCGCCCUGAUCUCCCGAGGCCGCGACCGACGGUUGGGGGAGAGGAGGGGAGGGGGCCGUGCGUACCCCUGCCCUGUGGAUCCACCAUCAGCCGCGAGCGGCUCGAGAUCCUCGACGACGAGCGCCGCGUGCUCUGCUUCCGCGUCGUCGGCUGGGAGAUCCAUGGGAGCAGAAGGGGACCUGUUCAGAUGGGGCAACACAGGGAGACUAUUCAGCACUGAUGAAAUGUUAGAGUUGAAGCUAACACAGACAAGAAAAUUUUGCAUUCUUCAGUUUCAUGAAGGUGUUACUGGUGACUGGUAUGGUGGUUUUGAAGUAUUUUUACAUUCUUUGUCAAAUGAGCAGUUGUCUUGUCUGAUUUUGAAACAUGCUGGUUCAUGCCGUACCACAAGCUAGCUAGUCUUUUCCCAUCUAUCUCACUCACUCAAACACACCCACAGUAGUACUACUAGUCUUAUUAUUAGAAAAACAAGGGAGAAGGAUGAACAUGCUAGUCUUAUUAUUAGAAAAACAAAGGAGAAGGGUGAACAUGCAUGAUGUGAUCCAAGUAUGGCACACAGUACAUGCAGCAA